AUUGAACGCUGGCGGCAUGCCUAACACAUGCAAGUCGAACGGCAGCACAGCCCGCAAGGGUGGGUGGCGAGUGGCGGACGGGUGAGGAACACAUAGGAAUCUACCCUGUCGUGGGGGAUAACGUAGGGAAACUUACGCUAAUACCGCAUACGACCGAGAGGUGAAAGCGGCGGACCGCAAGGCGUCGCGCGACUGGAUGAGCCUAUGUACGAUUAGCUAGUUGGCGGGGUAAGAGCCCACCAAGGCGGCGAUCGGUAGCUGGUCUGAGAGGAUGAUCGGCCACACUGGAACUGAGACACGGUCCAGGCUCGUGAGGGAGGCAGCAGUGGGGAAUAUUGGACAAUGGGCGCAAGCCUGAUCCAGCAAUGCCGCGUGGGUGAAGAAGGCCUUCGGGUUGUAAACUGCUUUUGUACGGAGCGAAACGGCUUUCUCUAAUACAGGGAGCUAAUGACGGUACCGUAAGAAUAAGCACCGGCUAACUACGUGCCAGCCGCCGCUGUAAUAC
rnacentral:rRNA from 1 species